rnacentral:rRNA from 1 species
AACUCUGAACCAGCUACGCCGUGUGCAGGAUGACGGUCUUUUAGGUUGUAAACUGCUUUUGUAUAGAAAUAAAACUCCUACGUGAUAGGAGCUUGAAGGUACUAUGCGAAUAAGUGUCGGUUAAUUCCGUGCCAGCAGCCGCGGCAAUACGGAUGACACAAGCGUUAUUCGGAUUUAUUGGGUUUAAAGGGUGUGUAGGCUGUUUGUUAAGUCAGUAGUGAAAGCUUACAGCUUAACUGUAAAAUUGCUAUUGAUACUGGUAAACUUGAGUAAGAUUGGAGCAUCUGGAAUGUAUGGUGUAGCGGUGAAAUGCAUAGAUAUCAUACAGAACACCGAUAGCGAAGGCAGGUUGCUAAAUCUUUACUGACGCUGAGUGCACGAAAGCGUGGGUAGCAAACAGGAUUAGAUACCCUGGUAGUCCACGCCCUAAACGAUGAUCACUAGCUAUUGGAAAAACGAUAUUCAGUGGCUUAGCGAAAGCGAUAAGUGAUCCACCUGGGAAGUACAGUCGCAAGAUUGAAACUCAAAGGAAUUGACGGGGGUUCGCACAAGCGGUGGAGCAUGUGGUUUAAUUCGAUGAUACGCGAGGAACCUUACCAAGGCUUAAAUGUAUUACGAAUAAGCUGGAAACAGUUUAGUCUGUACGACGUAUUACAAGGUGCUGCAUGGUUGUCUUCAGUUCGUGCUGUGAAGUGUUUGGUUAAGUCCUAUAACGAGCGCAACCCCUAUUGUUAGUUGCCAUCGGGUAAAGCCGGGGACUCUAACAAAACUGCCGGUGUAAACUGUGAGGAAAGGUGGGGAUGAUGUCAAAUCAU